UACGUAGGUGGCAAGCGUUGUCCGGAUUUACUGGGCGUAAAGAGCGCGCAGGCGGUCGUUCAAGUCGCGUGUGAAAGCCCCCGGCUCAACUGGGGAGGGUCACGCGAUACUGAUCGACUCGAAGGCAGGAGAGGGUAGUGGAAUUCCCGGCGUAGUGGUGAAAUGCGUAGAUAUCAUGAGGAAUACCAGAGGCGAAGGCGGCUACCUGGACAAUUGCUGACGCUCAGGCACGAAAGCGUGGGGAGCAAAAGGG
rnacentral:rRNA from 1 species